UACAGAGGUCCCAAGCGUUGUUCGGAUUCACUGGGCGUAAAGGGUGCGUAGGCGGUUUGAUAAGUCUGAUGUGAAAUCCCGCAGCUUAACUGCGGAACUGCAUUGGGAACUAUUUGACUAGAGGAAUGGAGGGGAGACUGGAAUACUUGGUGUAGCAGUGAAAUGCGUAGAUAUCAAGUGGAACACCAGUGGCGAAGGCCAGUCUCUGGACGUUUCCUGACGCUGAGGCACGAAAGCCAGUGGAGCAAACGGG
rnacentral:rRNA from 1 species